CGCCCUUCGGGGCUUCUUGGUGAUUCAUGAUAACUUUACGGAUCGCAUGGCCUUGCGCCGGCGACGGUUCAUUCAAAUUUCUGCCCUAUCAACUUUCGAUGGUAAGGUAUUGGCUUACCAUGGUUUCAACGGGUAACGGGGAAUUAGGGUUCGAUUCCGGAGAGGGAGCCUGAGAAACGGCUACCACAUCCAAGGAAGGCAGCAGGCGCGCAAAUUACCCAAUCCCGAUACGGGGAGGUAGUGACAAUAAAUACUGAUACAGGGCUCUUUUGGGUCUUGUAAUUGGAAUGAGUACAAUUUAAACCUCUUAACGAGGAACAAUUGGAGGGCAAGUCUGGUGCCAGCAGCCGCGGUAAUUCCAGCUCCAAUAGCGUAUAUUAAAGUUGUUGCAGUUAAAAAGCUCGUAGUUGAACCUUGGGUCUGGCUGGCAGGUCCGCCUCACCGCGUGUACUUGUCCGGCCGGGCCUUCCUUCUGGAGAACCUCAUGCCCUUCACUGGGCGUGUUGGGGACCAGGACUUUUACUUUGAAAAAAUUAGAGUGUUCAAAGCAGGCCUUUGCUCGAAUACGUUAGCAUGGAAUAAUAGAAUAGGACGUGCGGUCCUAUUUUGUUGGUUUCUAGGACCGCCGUAAUGAUUAAUAGGGACAGUCGGGGGCAUCAGUAUUCAAUUGUCAGAGGUGAAAUUCUUGGAUUUAUUGAAGACUAACUACUGCGAAAGCAUUUGCCAAGGAUGUUUUCAUUAAUCAGUGAACGAAAGUUAGGGGAUCGAAGACGAUCAGAUACCGUCGUAGUCUUAACCGUAAACUAUGCCGACUAGGGAUCGGGCGAUGUUCUUUUUCUGACUCGCUCGGCACC
rnacentral:rRNA from 1 species